rnacentral:rRNA from 1 species
UACGGAGGGUACGAGCGUUGUCCGGAAUCACUGGGCGUAAAGGGCGCGUAGGCGGCCUGGCAGUCGGUGGUGAAAGCCCGUGGCUCAACUGCGGGUCGGCCACCGAUACUCAGGGCUCGAGUUUGGUAGAGGCAGAUGGAAUUCCGGGUGUAGCGGUGGAAUGCGUAGAGAUCCGGAAGAACACCGGUGGCGAAGGCGGUCUGCUGGGCCAAGACUGACGCUGAGGCGCGACAGCGUGGGGAGCAAA